UUUGAUCAUGGCUCAAAUUGAACGCUGGCGGCAUGCCUCCCUUAUGCAAGUCAAACGGCAGCAUGGAGGACCUUGCUCCUCUGAUGGCGAGGGGCGAACGGGUGAGUAAAGCAUCGAAACGUGCCGGGUAGGGGGGGAUAACGUACCGAAAGUUACCCUAAUACCGCAUACCCCCCGAGGUGGAAAGCAGGGAAUCGCAAGACCUUGCGCUAUACAAGCGGCCGAUGUCAAAUUAGCUAGUUGGAAGGGAAAAGGCCUACCAAGGCAACAAUCUGUAGCGGGUCUGAAAGGAUGAUCCGCCACACUGGGACUGAGACACGGCCCAAACUCCUACGGGAGGCAGCAGUGGGUAUUUUUGGACAAUGGGGAAAACCCUGAUCCAGCCAGGCCGCGGGAGUGAAGAAGGCCUUCGGGUUGUAAAGCUCUUUCGGCUGGAAAGAAAUCGCACAG
rnacentral:rRNA from 1 species